AUUGAACGCUGGCGGCAUGCUUUACACAUGCAAGUCGAACGGUAACAGACCGCAAGGUGCUGACGAGUGGCGAACGGGUGAGUAAUGCAUCGGAACGUGCCCAGUUGUGGGGGAUAACUGCUCGAAAGAGCAGCUAAUACCGCAUACGACCUGAGGUUGAAAGCGGGGGAUCGCAAGACCUCGCGCAAUUGGAGCGGCCGAUGUCGGAUUAGCUAGUUGGUGGGGUAAAGGCCCACCAGGGCGACGAUCCGUAGCUGGUCUGAGAGGACGACCAGCCACACGGGGACGGAGACACGGCGCAGACUCCUAAGGGAGGCAGCAGUGGGGAAUUUUGGAAAAUGGACGGAAGUCUGAUCCAGCCAUGCGGCGUGCGGGAAGAAGGCCUUCGGGUUGUAAACCGCUUUUGUCAGGGAAGAAAUCUUCUGGGUUAAUACCUCGGGAGGAUGACGGUACCUGAAGAAUAAGCACCGGCUAACUACGUGCCAGCCGCCGCCGUAACAC
rnacentral:rRNA from 1 species